rnacentral:rRNA from 1 species
AUGGGGGGAACCCUGACGCAGCGACGCCGCGUGCGGGACGGAGGCCUUCGGGUCGUAAACCGCUUUCAGCAGGGNAAGAGUCAAGACUGUACCUGCAGAAGAAGCCCCGGCUAACUACGUGCCAGCAGCCGCGGUAAUACGUAGGGUGCAAGCGUUAUCCGGAAUUAUUGGGCGUAAAGGGCUCGUAGGCGGUUCGUCGCGUCCGGUGUGAAAGUCCAUCGCUUAACGGUGGAUCUGCGCCGGGUACGGGCGGGCUGGAGUGCGGUAGGGGAGACUGGAAUUCCCGGUGUAACGGUGGAAUGUGUAGAUAUCGGGAAGAACACCAAUGGCGAAGGCAGGUCUCUGGGCCGUUACUGACGCUGAGGAGCGAAAGCGCGGGGAGCGAACAGGAUUAGAUACCCUGGUAGUCCAAGGGCGAAUUC